rnacentral:lncRNA from 1 species
CCAUGCAUAAUUUAUCACCUAAUCUUUCAUAACAACAAACACCUUCAUCCUUAAUCAUUUUAAUAACCAUACAUCAUCAAAUACUUACACAUCACUCAUUAGCAAAAUCAUCACUACAAACAUACAAAAUAACUAAAUCCCUAUACAUGCCAUAACUUAAACGUGUUUCGAUAUAAAAUACCGAGCAGUUGUAGUUGAUAGUGUGGACGAUCUCCGACUUCUUUAGGAUCCUUGAAGUAGCUUUGCAAUACUAUAAGAGAAAGAGAAAUAAAAGAAGUAAGCAUAAAGCUUAGUAAGUUUACUAGCAAAUAAAUAACAAUAUUUAACUUAAAUAAUUAAACUCAAUGUCUAUAUCUCUAGUUUACUCUUUAGUUAAUCUCAUACUAGUUCUCUUACUUGUUUACUUAGAAUAUUUGUGUGCAUAACUUACUCAAUCCUUGCUGCAUCGUUGAACAUCAAUUGAUAGUAUAAUAAGUUCUUAAGUCUUACAACUUACCUGAGCUUGCCAUUUAUGCUUUAAACUGAACUUUCAUGAACAUGAUUCGUUUACAAGCCCGUUGAACUACAUUGGAAUAAUAAGGAUACUCGGGUCUCUUCUGAUAAUAACAUGCCAAAGCCAUGUCCCAGAUAUGGUCUUACAUGGGAUGUUCUCGUGAUGGUGCCCAUGCCAUGUCCCAGACAUGGUCUUAUAGGGGACCUCUCAUCUCGGUGCCAACGCCAUGUCCCAGACAUGGUCUUACAUGGGACCUCUUGUCUCGGUGCCCAUGCCAUGUCCCAGACAUGGUCUUACAGGGGACCUCUCAUGAUCUUAAGGAUGCCAAUGCCAUGUCCCAGACAUGGUCUUACAUGGGAUCUCUUUACCCAAAUGUCAUGACAUUCGUAUCCAGUACCAUCCUUAUGUAUCAACGGGACUUUUAAAUUUUAAUUAUCUAUCAUUUCAUGCUUGGAUCAUCAUCAAAUAAAUUCAUAAAAUAAAUUCAUAAUUGCUGGAAAUUAACAGCAUUAAUAAUAAAUAUUGAAAUAUUGCAUUUAUUUACCGUAAACUUACCUCGGUACCAAUUAUAGCCAAAUUCACCAACUUAGUCUUCAACUUUAUUCUUCCCUUUGUCUAACCUCGAGUUUCGUACUUCUUGAUCAAAUUACUUUGAACCUUAAAACCCCAAAUUUCCCUUUUUCUUUUCUUUUCUUUCUUUCUUUCCUUCCUUCCUUCUCUGUUUCGUUUUGCUCUCUGUUUCUUUCUUUCUCCCUUCUCUGUUUUGUUUUGCUCUCUGUUUCUUUUCUUUCUUUCUUUGUCAUAUAUAUAUAAUAAUAAUAAUAUAAUAUAAUAUAAUAUAAAAACAUAAUUAUUACUUACGCAUGUAUAAUAUAUAAUAUAUAUAUUUUAAAUUAAAAAUAUCUUAGAUUUUUCUUUUGUUAUGCCGCCUCAACUUUAGAAAAAGGCAUAAUUGCCUAUUUGGUCCUUUAACUUUUCUUUAAUCUAUAAUUAAACUUUUAUCCUUACUUCAAUUUAGUCCUUUUUCAUAAUUAACUAUCAAAGCGUUAAAAUUUCUUAACGAAACUUUAAUAUUAUCCUGUUGACACUCCGUAAAUAUUUUUAUAAAUAUUUACGGCUCAGUUUAUAAUAUCGAGGUCUCAAUAUCUCGUUUUCGACCCAAUUUACCUAAUAAUUUCUUUUAAAUCACAAAAUUCACUGAUUUAAAAAUAUUUCUAAAAUCACACUUAACUUAUAAUUAUUAAUUAAUAAAUUUUUCUAACUUUUUCAUCAAUUUUAGUGAUCUCAAAUCACUAUUCUGACACUACUAAAAUUUGGGCUGUUACAAAAAAACUAAACUGUAAACAAGAAAGGAGAGAAGAGCUUUCGAUUGGUGCAGGCAGUGUGAACGGAGAAGGCCAUACAACAACGAUUUUAAUAGCCUAGUCUUAAAUGAAAACUUUUGAAUAGUUCAAUGAUCAAAUUGUAACUUUUUAAAGAUGAGUGACCAAAACGUAAAUGUACUAAUAAUUUAAUGAUCUUGGGUGUAGUUUACCUAAAAAAACAACAAGGAAAUUGCUUAAUAAUUUAGUAAUAAAUUGAACCAUCAAUCGAAAAUAACAUUCAAUUGAAGCCUUAAUUAAAUAUAAACAAUCAAUUAAGCACUUGAAAAAUCAAUUUUUGAGUAAGCACCUAACAUUGGUAAGUUAUCCGUGUGACAAAAUAUAGUAAUUUUCCCUAAAAAUGUUUUAAAAACAUUAAAAAAUUUUUAAAAUUUAUAAAAUAUUUAGAUUUUUCAAAAAAAUUUAAAAAAAGAAUUUUCAAAAGUUAUAAAAAAACUACUAAAAAAAUUAAAAUUUUAAAAUUAUAAAAAAUGCAAGUGUUUUUAUUAUAAUUAAAAAAAUUAUAUAUUUUUUAAAAAAGCAAAAAAUUAUAAAAUACUAAAAAUAAUAGAAAAUUAUUAAAAAUUUGUAUAACAAUUAUAAAAAUAUAACAAAUUAUAGGAGACAUGAUUGAUCAAUUUAUUGAUAUCAUCAAUAUAAGCAUUAGUGCUGUGUGGGAACAUGGUGUUGUUCUUAGAACCUGAACCUCCUGCCUUCUAUGUUAAUUAAAUUUUGAUUUUUUUUUUCUCGACAGUUAAACUUUUUAUGUGGCACCUUAAUAAAUCAUGUAGACACUUUUUCAUAAUUUUAUAUUAUUUUUAUUUUUUUAAUUUUCUAAAAAAAUUAGUAUUUUUUGCAAUUUUUAUAAUUUUUGGAAAUUCCAAUUUUUAAUAAUUUUAUAUUAUUUUUAAAUAAAUUUUAUAAGUUUUGAAAGUCUAACUUUUUAUUUUUUUUUAAAAAAAUUCCUAUUAUUUUAACAAUUAUUUUAUUUUUUUUGCGGUUUUAUAAAAUUUUAAAAAUUCUAUUUCUUUAUUUUAUUUUUUGAAAAUCUAAGUUUUUUAUUAUAUAAUUUUAGAUUUUUCUAAAGAACAUUUUAGAAAUCUUUUAUGUUUUUUAAAAUUUUAAAGAAAAAUACCAUAUUUUAUCACAUGUCAAAUUUAAUAGUGUUAGGGGCUUACACGAAAAUUAUUUUUUUCUUUAAGGUUUAAUUGAUUGUAUAUAUUCGAUUAAAACUCAAUUGGGUGUUAUUUUCAAUUGAGAGUUGAAUUGAUUAUUAAAUAACUUUAGAGGGUUUUUUUUCAUAUAUUAACAAGCAAGAGUAAUAUAGCCAAAGAAACAACUAUAUCUUUACUCUUGAAAAACUCAUUCUGAGGUUAAAAAAUCUAUAACUCGUAUUUUCGUAAAUUUAGAAUUUAGUUUUUAUAUUUUUAUUUUUAAGAAUUUAGUCUCUUUAUUUUUUUGAUUUUAAAAUUUAAGUCAAACUGAUAACACUGAUAAACUUAUUUUGCAAAAUUCGAGUUCAUUAAAAUGUUAUUUUUAGUUAUAUUUCUUCCAGGUGAGUAUUUCUUUUUUAAUUUUAAAAUGCCAUACCAACGAAUUUAAUAAAAGAAAGAGUAUUAACAAUUGAGCCUAAAUAUUGAAAUAUAAAAAAUAGAGAUUAAAUUUUUAAAAAUAAAAAUAUAUGGAUUAUAUUCUAAAUUUGUGAAGAAUGCAAGUAUCUAUAAACAUAUUUUAACCUUUUAAUUAUCAAACUUGACAUGAUAAAACUUUUAAAACUUCAAACAUAGGUCGAUUGAGUUUUAGCUUGAAUGACAUAGACAUUGUUGCUAAUGCAGGAGGAUGCGGGUCCGAGUGCGUUGAAUAGUAUUAUCCUCCUAUAUAUGGAUAGUUUUAAGCAUCGUGUCAAAAAAGAGUACUAAUAUAGUCAGAACUUGACAUAAUCGUCUAUUUUUACCGUGGCAUGGUCACUUUCUUAUAGGAAGUUCCUGUAUGAGAAAGUGGAAUUCUAAAUUUCUUGGAUUUAACGUUACAGGGUCAUCUGAAGGUACCGGUUUGAAGAUUAAACUAAUCAUAGGUAAAUAUACUGACUCCUUUAUAUCUCUAUUUGGAAGAAUGAAAAUAAACUAUUAUGAAACUGAUCCCAUCCCUUUAAAACAGGGUUUGCAGUGGUUGGGGUUACUGUUAUGGUAAUUUGCCUUGUGGCGUUUGCCUUGAAGCUUAAGAAAGGAUCGUUGUCAAGUGGGAAGCUGAUGAAUUUACAGCAGAAUAUAAGUAAGAACACUAAAAGGGUUGAAGCAUUCAUCAUGAGAUACGGUUCAGAGCUUGCCCCAAAGCGAUAUUCUUAUUCAGACAUCAAGAAAAUCACCAAGUCGUUCAAAGACAAGCUCGGCGAAGGCGGAUUCGGCACUGUCUACAAAGGCAAGUUGCCUGACGGUCGUCUUGUUGCAGUUAAAGUCCUGAGUGAAUCAAGGGAGGAUGGAGAGGAAUUCAUUAACGAAGUGGCGAGUAUUAGUCGAACUUCUCAUGUCAAUGUGGUGACGUUUCUUGGAUUUUGUUAUGAGAGUUCGAUGAGAGCUUUGUUCUAUGAAUUCAUGCCGAAUGGAUCAUUGGAUAAGUUUAUUUACCAGCACGGAUCGCAGGAUAAAAUUUGUAUGCUAAACCAGAAAACAUUGUUUGAAAUUGCUGUUGGCAUUGCUAGAGGACUAGAAUAUCUACAUCGAGGAUGUAACACCAGGAUUUUGCAUUUGGACAUAAAACCACAUAACAUCCUGUUAGACGAAAACUUCGUUCCCAAGAUUUCAGAUUUCGGUCUUGCUAAGUUAUGCGAGCGGAAGGAAAGCAUUCUUUCAUCGAUAACUGCUCGAGGAACAAUAGGAUACAUUGCUCCAGAACUAUUUUGUCGAAACUUUGGAGGCAUUUCUUACAAAUCCGAUGUUUAUAGCUACGGGAUGAUGGUCCUUGAAAUGGUUGGAGCAAAGGAAAGCGUUCAUGCCGGAGGGUCUCUAACAAGUGAAAUGAACUUUCACUCAUGGAUUUACAAACAUCUCCCACAAGAUGCAUUCAAUCUUGAAGGAAUCACAGCAGAAGAUGAAGAAAUAACUAAGAAGAUGAUUAUAGUAAGCUUAUGGUGCAUUCAAACUAAUCCAUCAGACCGACCGUCGAUGACGAAAGUGCUAGAGAUGCUACAAGGAAAUCUUCAAUCAUUAGCAAUUCCACCAAGACCUUUUCUGUUUUCUCCUCAACAAUCGCCCCCAAACACCUCGUCUACAAUAUCAUUAUUUGCAUCAUCCAUUACCAUGAACACCGAAUAACUAGACCACGGUAAUUUUUUUUCUUUUUAUUAUUAAAAAAUUAACUUCUUUUAUCUUAUAGAAAAGUUUUAAUGCAUGUAUAUUUCAUUAGAGUUGUUUGGUUCAGAUCAGAUACGGAUCAAACUAUUAUACAGGUAAAAUAAUCAACAUUUGUUCAAAUCUUAUUCCUACUAAUAUUAAAAUCUAAGUCAAAAUCAUAUUUUAAAUGUAUCCAACUAUUUUUUCAAAAUUUAUUUUAAACCUUCUUAAAUAUUCAAAUAGAUUUUCGACACAUCUAUAUUUCAUAACAGUUUGUUAGGAUACAGGGUUUAUGAUAAAGUUGUUCUCAUAAUAGCUUUCAUUGUUUAUAUAUGUCGCUGUCAUGUAUUUAUUUUUUAUCUUAUAUGCUUUAAGAGUUUGAUCUCUUCAAUUAAUUUCCGAAUUAUUUAUUUUAAUUAAAAAUAAAUUAGAUGAUUCCCUGCUAAAAUUCAAUUGGAUUGCCCUUUUUUUACUUUAAAUUAUUUUAAUUUGUUUAAAAAUAAAGGAUGAGUCACAAGUAAAUUAUUACUCUUUGAAUCUAUUGAUCAAACCAUACUUUUUCUUACUUUGACUUGACAAAUAAUUAAUAAUAUGAAAAAUCAUUUACUGCGCUAUUACUAGAUUUUAAAAAUUUCACAAGUAGACGUGAAAUAUUAUUAAAAAAACCUGAAACAUACAUGUGUUUUAUAUUAAAUCUUGAUUGUAGAGUUAAAAAUUCUUUUUACAUUAAUUACUUGAGUAAAUAUUCGGGAUAAAAAAAAUAAAAUUUUAAUCUAAAAAAAAUUUAUGCUUUAAUUGAUAAAAAAAAUUCUUCAAUUUUAAUAUUGAGUAAAUUUAUUUUUUUAAAUAUUUUAAUCCCCGUCAAUUUUAAAAGUGAACAUCUAAAGAUAUUUAAUUACAAAAUUAAUAUUUUUGUCAAUUGUACAUAAUUUUAAUUUGUAUAAUAUCUUAAAGUUUUCAAGUUUUGCUUAUUUAUAUAUAUGUUUUUUAAUUUUGUAUUUUUUAAAAAAUAGAUAUUUUUAAAUUGAUAAUAUAUAUAAACAUUGAAACUUAAUUUGUUAUUAUAUCAAUUAAAAUUAUGUAUAAUUGAUGAAAAUAUUUAAUUUAGUUUAAAUUUUUUUAAAGGGCUUUAGGUUAGUUUAAUAAACUUUCAAGCUUCAAUACAUUUGAUUGUUUUAACAAAUAACAAGUAAUUAUAUGCUAUUUCCUGGGAUUAAUGUCUAUUUAAUAUCAUUUUAGAUUUCUUGAUGAAAUUUUGGUUUAAUAUCAAAAUUAAAAUUAUCAAGGUUAUAAACUUUAGGUUUGAGUUUUACUCUCAUGCAUGAAUUUUAUAUUUCAAUUAUUAAUCCAUUUAUAUUUAUAAUAAUUAAUUAUAAUUGUAAUUAUUUGUUAUUAUUUUAUAAUUUACGCUCACAGAGAAAGGAAAGUAACAAAACUGAUAAAAAGUCACAAGACAUACCAACAUAAAUUUGACUUUUGACCAAUCUUUUUCCUUUUUUGUCCUUUUCAAAGUUCAAAAAAAUAGACAAAAAAUAUGACCAAAAACACUAUUGGUUAACCAAAACUGAAUUUCAAGUCAACAAAAAAAAAUCAGUUUUAUUGAAAAUAUCUUAAAUUUGUGAAAAUGAUCCCUUUUUAGUUAAAACAAAAAAAAAGCCCAUCCCUAUCUAUAAAUAAAAAUAAAAUAAAGAAGACGUUUUAUAAAUAAAAAAAUAAAACUGUAUUUUUAAGUGUAGAUAAUUUAUAAGCAAACAGUAAAAAUUUUCAGCUAUAAUUUUCGUAAAUUCCUAAUUAUAUAUAUUUUGUUAUAUACUUUUUAUUUUAUUUUAUUUAAUGGGAGAUGGGUCCCACCUUAUCUAUCGUCACGCUAAACUGCAUGAUCACGUGAAAGGGAGCAGAGGUGGGAGGUCCCCCCGAGUCCGCAUCAUCUUUUGCUGGACUCCCACACAUGGAGACACAGAGAUCGGUUAUAUAACUUUUUGUUUAUCUAUUAAUUUAUUUGGGUUGGGCCGGUGGGAGUAAACUCGCACGUGCGCCGAACUUUUGACACUUGUGAUAUUAUUAUUAUCUUGCUUUUCUUAUUGGAUAGUCAUCGACGACAAAGACGGUUGCUGAACCGAUAAUAAGAAUACUGGACACGUGGCUUCCAAACGUCACACUUUGGUCACGCAGUUAGAGAGACUAACAUGUUGCUUUAUCAUCUGCAUUUUCACUUUUUCCAAUUUGUCCCUCCUUUUUCUUAAAAAAAAAUUUAAAUAUAAAAAAAUUUUAUAUUCCAAGAUAUAAUAAUUAUUCAACACAUUAAUAUCUAUGGACUUGUUCAGCUAAUGCUUAAAAAAUCCUCUGCCUCUAUUUUUUUUUUCUUUAAAACAACUUCUUUGAGUUGAUGUUGAUGCAAAUUUUAAAUUAUUUAUAUUGUUAUUCACCUGUGUUUUAUUAGCAAAAUUUUCAAUGAUCAGUGGCAAAGUUGUAAAUUGAGAAAAGAUCAAGGGCGAUGAUAUCCAAUAAGUACAGUUUUAGCUGACCACCUCGCAAAUCCGUGUUAAUUUCCAAGCACUUGUUCAUUUCAUUUCAAAGCUUUUUCUAUCAAACAUACAUCUUCUGUUUUUCUUCCCGGGUUUUUAACUUUAACAACCCAAAACCAUUCCCGGUUUCCCGGUCUACCCAUUAAUCCGUCGAUUCGAUUCCACCUCCAACUAGAUUUUAUCAAAUCUGCUUUCACAGUUCCCCACCGAUUCACCCGUCUGUAAGCGCCGCCGUUUUAUAUCUUCAGUCGCCGAUCUAAAAUUUCUAAACUUAAGAUCCUUCUCCGAUCAGCUCACGAUUGAAACGGCGUCGUUGCAGCAAAAAAAAUCAUCGCUUUUAACUUCACACACACGAUUCUUAUUCUCUUUCCCUUUAAAAUUUUUGAUUAAUUUUACUCAAAUUCUUUUUUUUUUUGUUUUCCUUUUAAUAGGACAAUUUUUUUUUCUAUAAAUUGAAUAAUUCUAGCAUCGAUUCUUCUUCUUUUUUUCCCUUCGAUUUGAAAUGACGUCGGGGACGAGGCUACCGACAUGGAAAGAACGAGAGAAUAACAAGCGGAGAGAGCGGCGGAGGAGAGCAAUAGCAGCGAAGAUCUUCGCCGGACUUCGGAUGUACGGUAACUAUAAGCUUCCGAAGCACUGCGAUAACAACGAAGUUCUCAAAGCUCUUUGUAACGAGGCCGGUUGGACCGUCGAACCCGAUGGAACUACUUAUCGUAACGUAAAUUACUAUCUUCACUUGAACUUUUUUUUCUGCUCUUUGUUAGUUUAUUGAUUAAUCUUAUUAGGGAAAAGAUAGAAGAUAAUGCCAAUGGAACGGUUAUUGUUUUGUUUGAAAAUGAAAUUUCACUGAAAAUAUACGUUUUGUUAAUAGCUUGUUUGAGCUCUAAGAUUGCUUGUUUUAUUUUGUUUGUAAUUUUUGAAAAAUCGAGACAACGGAAAAUUGCUAUUUCGGAAUUUACUCUCUUUAUCGAUUUCUUUUGGUAAUGGAGUAAUAAUAAAUUAAUAAUUACAAAAAAUUCCAAUAAAACUGCGGUCCGUAUGCUAAUUUGUGCCGCUUCUUGCGGUGCAUGUUAAUCAACGGAAGUGUCCCCGUUGUGCUAACAUACGCCGAUUCUGGCGGGCUAAUGUUGAAAUCGGAGAAACAGGAAGAUCUGCUGCCAACGGUUAAAAUGCACGGCUCGAACCGGAGUUACUGUUUUACACACGGCAUCAAUUUGUUUUUUAAUUCUUUUCACUGCUUUUGUUUAUUAGUGUUUCUUCUUGUUUGAGGUAUUAGUGUAAUUUUGUAUGCUGGAUCAGGGCAGAAGCGUCAUUUUAUUAGUCUUCUCUUAUUUAGAUCUGGUCAGCCCUCUUUUGUAAUAUCUUUUUAUUAUGUGUUUUUUUACUCUUACUUUAGCCAACGCGUGAGCCGUGAAGUACCAACGAAAGAUGCUCUCUUUCUUUGAUGACCGUAUUCCAUAUAACUUGUAGUUAUUCCAGAUGAGAAAGAACAUGGGACUGAUCAUCACACUUAAAAAAGAAACCCAAUUUGCAUAGAUCUCGAGGAGAAAGACCUAACUACCCUUGUUAAAUUGAUGAUUGUGACUGUAGUUUUUGCACCAUGUGAAUUUACAGUGUGCUCUGAUUUACUCUUUUUUUUUUUAAUUGCUAAGUAACAAAGAGUCACUCGUUUGCACAGUUCCCCACUUUGCCUAACUUUCAUUUUCAGUUGAUCAUACAAGAAUUUGCGUUUUCUUUAGACUUGGCAAUCCGUUUGUGUUUGUAUUUUUUUAAUAAUUGUGUUUAAGCCUUUAAGGUUUUAUAGAUAUAAUAAUAUUUUUAUACGCAAAUAAUUGAUUUUAUAUAGAUUCUGGCACAUGUUAUGUUUCUUAUUUAUUUUGUUUGUUUAUGGUUGCUUGGCUGUAUUUACAAAUUAUCACACCUUUUGGCCAAUUUAUUACCCCAUUUUUAUUAUCACACCUUUUGGCCAAUUUAUUACCCCAUUUUUACUUGUUUUGAUGUCUUAGCUUGAUUACUCAACUAAUUUAAUUAGUACGGCCUACAAUUGUUUAGAACUCUGAAUCAGAUGGACUAUGUCUAAGACUGCAGCUCAAAGGCGGAGUUGAGGUUUUUAUCAUGCAUAAAACAAGGGUUUUUGCUUCUAAGCAAACUGAGGAUUUAGCAGAGAGAUGAGGUUUUCAGGGUAGAUAUUGUGAUUUGUAUGUCUGAUAUGUGAACUGGUGGAAUAACAUUGUGUAAAAUGACCCAAUUACUAAAGCUCCAAUUAGCUGAUAUUGUUCACAUAUGAAAUGUUUUAAAAUGGAAAAUAGGAUUAUUUUGAUGGAAAAGCGAAAUGAAGGGGUGAAUAUAAUGAUGCCCUAGUGUGGUGGAAUUAAUGACAUUCAUAAGAACUCGAAUUGCAUGUCUAAUCAAAUGAUGGAAUGAGUUUUGGUUUCUGAGAUGCUAUUUGUUUAAAUUUCCUAUUUCCUGGGUUGAGCAUACUUUGCAGUUAUGGUAAUUUUAUCGCUGCAUGUGAUUCUAGGAAUUUAGGGCACUGAUAAAUAUCUAAUUUCUGCAGGGUUGCAAGCCUGUGGAGCGCAUGGAUAUAGUAGGUGGAUCUGCAACAGUGAGCCCCUGUUCAUCUUACCACCCAAGCCCUCGUGCUUCUUACAAUCCGAGCCCUGCAUCAUCAUCUUUUCCAAGCCCAGCUUCUUCUUCGUAUGUGGUUAAUCCCAAUGGUGAUGUGAAUUCUCUUUUCCCAUGGCUCAAAAACCUCUCAUCUGCAUCCUCAUCAGCAUCCUCUUCCAAGCGUCCCUAUAGCUAUAUUCAUGGUGGUUCCAUCAGUGCUCCUGUCACCCCUCCAUUGAGCUCACCAACUGCUCGAACCCCACGAAUGAAAAAUGAUUGGGAGGACCAAUCUGCCCUUCCAGGUUGGAGUGCACAACAACAUUCUUUCCUGCCUUCU